rnacentral:rRNA from 2 species
GCAGUCGAGCGGACAGAAGGGAGCUUGCUCCCGGAUGUUAGCGGCGGACGGGUGAGUAACACGUGGGUAACCUGCCUGUAAGACUGGGAUAACUCCGGGAAACCGGAGCUAAUACCGGAUAGUUCCUUGAACCGCAUGGUUCAAGGAUGAAAGACGGUUUCGGCUGUCACUUACAGAUGGACCCGCGGCGCAUUAGCUAGUUGGUGAGGUAACGGCUCACCAAGGCGACGAUGCGUAGCCGACCUGAGAGGGUGAUCGGCCACACUGGGACUGAGACACGGCCCAGACUCCUACGGGAGGCAGCAGUAGGGAAUCUUCCGCAAUGGACGAAAGUCUGACGGAGCAACGCCGCGUGAGUGAUGAAGGUUUUCGGAUCGUAAAGCUCUGUUGUUAGGGAAGAACAAGUGCAAGAGUAACUGCUUGCACCUUGACGGUACCUAACCAGAAAGCCACGGCUAACUACGUGCCAGCAGCCGCGGUAAUACGUAGGUGGCAAGCGUUGUCCGGAAUUAUUGGGCGUAAAGGGCUCGCAGGCGGUUUCUUAAGUCUGAUGUGAAAGCCCCCGGCUCAACCGGGGAGGGUCAUUGGAAACUGGGAAACUUGAGUGCAGAAGAGGAGAGUGGAAUUCCACGUGUAGCGGUGAAAUGCGUAGAGAUGUGGAGGAACACCAGUGGCGAAGGCGACUCUCUGGUCUGUAACUGACGCUGAGGA